rnacentral:lncRNA from 1 species
GGAGCCUAGACGACAAGCUGUGUGUGCUGCAGGGGGUGGAGCUGGAGAAGUGGCCCAAACCCCUUGGAGAAGCCCAGAAGAUCGAGGCCACAGUUGAACAACUUUGAACUUUUGAAGAGAUUUUUAGAUUUUAAAAGAGACUUUGUUUGUUUUUGUUUUUAAAGAUUGAAUUUUAAAGUGUUUGAAUUUAUAAAGAUGUUCUAAGUCUGUAAAAUGUUUUAUAUUAGGAUGUUUAUAUUAAUGUGUGAUCUUUGGGAUAAACAACAAAGGAAAGGUUGUAGCUUAAGAGUGAUAUGUUUGUGUGCCAAGUUGACAAGAAGUCAGUUGUGCUGGCUAAUUUUAUGUCAACUUCACACAAGCUAGUGUAAGUCAAAAUAGCCCCUUUCCUUCCCACAUUGCUUUUGGUCCUGGUGUUUCAUCACAGCAAAAUUAACCCUAACAAGGACAUUCUAAUUGCAUAUUUAUCCUUCUAAAAAAUUAUAAUGAAUUUCAGAGUUCACCUUUCUGACUUAGAGUUACUAAGUUAUCAACUCAGAAAACUCCCAGAAAAUUGGACUUACCGGAUUAACAUUGAUUUUGAUCUAAUGGGGUUUUCAUGAUAUUUGAUAAAUUUGUAUGUUCCAAAGAAUCUAUAGGUCCCCUAAGGAAUAUCCCUAAGCUCACUGAAAAGUGUGCUAAAGUUUAGUUCCCAGAACCCUGUGGACAGGGACAUGGGCACUAGGAGUUCCAUAGUAUCAAAUUGUGCAGAGUGCAGACUUACAACAAGGACUCCCUGUGAGCUGAAAUUCAUGCCCAUGGCCUCUUCAAAAAGCAGGAACAAAAAAGAACUUGUGACCAGCUCUAGAAUUAAAAAAAAAGAGGGUGUGGGGGGGGGCUUUUUCAGGCCCUUCCAGGACAGAGAAGUCGGGUUCCUUCCCCUGACCUCCAUGGGGAUUGGCCAAGAGUUCUGAGAAGAUGAUUUUGCAACUAAGAAAUCACAAGGCUGGAGUGAAAUGAAAACAAGCAAGGUCCUUUAUCAGCUAAGGACCAUCGGUUCUACUCUGUAGAAAUUCAGACAUAGGAAAAUCAAGGGCGAAAGCAGAAAAAUGUUGCAACAUAGGAAAGGCUCCCUUUGCAUGAUGUGCCUGCUACCAGCUAUGACAGAUGACAGUCACGGGAGCCACCACCAAAGGGUCCAUGUAUGCUAUCUCACUUUGCAUUAAAUAAUACCCACCUCUACAAAGAAAGGCAAGUAUAUCAUCCCUGUGCUGGGUGAUAAGUCCAAGUUCUCAGGUCACAAGACCUUGCAUCUGUUUGCAAUGUACAUGGGAUUUUUAUGAUACCUGUUGAUAAUAAUUUUAUUCAAAUAUGCUUAUUCUCAUGGUCAUAUCAGAAGACUUCUUCAAGAAUAAGGAUAUUUGAAACAUAUAGGCUUAAAUCAUAUUUUUAAAUAUUAUUUUUCAGCCGGGUGUAUAUAUAUAUAUAUAUAUAUAUAUAUAUAUAUAUAUAUAU